rnacentral:rRNA from 1 species
AGUGGCGAACGGGUGAGUAAUACAUAAGUAACCUGGCCUUUACAGGGGGAUAACUAUUGGAAACGAUAGCUAAGACCGCAUAGGUGUGAUAACCGCAUGGAGAUGACAUGAAAUAUGCUAUGGCAUAGGUAGAGGAUGGACUUAUGGCGCAUUAGCUAGUUGGAGGGGUAACGGCCCACCAAGGCGACGAUGCGUAGCCGACCUGAGAGGGUGACCGGCCACACUGGGACUGAGACACGGCCCAGACUCC